AGAACAGGGGGAUGUAAACUUUGGAUCAGGGUCAUUUGGGUAGUUCUCUUGUCAUUAUGAUUUAAAAAGAGUGAACACAGUUGUUUAACAAUACAUGGCUUCACCAAACCACUAACCAUGAAUAGAAAUUUUUUUUUUUUUUUAAGUAUAUUUGUGCC